GCGCCUGUAGCUCAGUGGAUAGAGCGUCUGCCUCCGGAGCAGAAGGUCGGGGGUUCGAGUCCCUUCAGGCGCACCA
rnacentral:tRNA from 1 species